UGUGAAAGAGAACCGUUAUGAACUAACUGAACCCUAGAUUUAUUGAUUUCAAAGGCUGGCGCUGUUUUCUUUCCUUUUGGUGGUGCUGGUUCUCUGUGGUGGUUUAAAGGUCUACAAUACACCUAUCGAAAGCUGAGGUAUUGUCAAAGUAGUUGCUUUGGGACUCAUUUUUUAAUCUAUUUUGGUGGUCAUCGGUGUAGCAAGUUCAUUCUGAGGUAUUUUUUUAAGUUUUAUGUUGAAAUUUGUUUUAUUGUAGAAAUGGGGUUGUUUUUUGUUCAGUGUAGUCUAAUGUUGUGCGUGAUUGGGUCAUUGGAAGUGUAGGUGGGUUUUUGGUUUAGUGUAUUGAAAUAUUUAAUUAAACUGAUUAGAUAUCAUUUUGUAGAGUUUGAAAUUUCUUGAAAUGUUGAAUGAAAUGUUUAACUGCGGAUUUAGGUAUGAAAAAUUUGGAGGAAGAACAACAUGUUGUGAAUGUAUUUGAUGAAACGACCCCCAAUGUAGUGUUAUAAUCUAAAACAAUAGGCAUUGUUUUAUGUGAAUAGUCGAUUAAGUUAAAAUGUAUUUGGUGUUUGUUUUUGUGUUAAGGUUUUGAAUGAAUGAAAUUAUGAAUUUAUGGUCUGAUUAUGUUAGUGGAUAAGAAGAAGAGAGAUGAUGAUGAUGAUGGUCUUUUGUUAGUUAAUAACGGGUUGUCUAAGGAAAGUGGUGAAGUUGUACCAAUCAUUAUUAAUGGUUUGGUUGAUAUUAUUGACAUUAAUAUGAGAAAUAUUAAUGGUGAUGACAUGGAGAGGUUCUUAUUUGGUUAUCUUGAAGCAGCAUACUUGUUUUAUUAUUGGUAUGCACGAAAUAAUGGGUUUUUUUUGUUAGGAGAAACAAAAUUGUGAAAAGUUGUAAGAAUGAAAUAAUCCAGCAAACAUUUGUUUGUUCUAGAGAAGGUCAUCGAGAAGAUAGAGGAUUAACGAUGGAAACAAUGAAGCUUGAACUAAGAAAUGAUAUUAGAUGUGACUACUUUGCUAAGUUUGUUGUGCAUAUUAAGAAAAAUUGUGAGCGAUGGGAAAUAAAGAACUUUAAUGAUAGACAUAGUCAUGAUUUGUUGGAGGAAGAUUAUUAUUCUCUAUUACCUAUUACUUUCACAUCGGAGGAUGGUUGUAGGUGAUAUUUUGCAAAUUGAGAAUCUUAGAAAAGUAGGGAUAAGGGCUCCUCAUAUAUUUGGUUCAUUAGCUAACAUUUUUUGUGGUUAUGACAAGAUAAGAUGGUGUAAGAAAGAUCUUCACAACCAAAUUGCACGACAAAAAGACAAGACGACUCUGAUGCUACUAAUGCAUUAAGAUUUUUUGAUGGCUUGAUAAAGAUAGACCCUAUGAUGUUUGUAAGACACAUAAAGGACAAUGAUGACAUGUUGCAACAUUUAUUUUGGUGUCAUGGUGAAAGCCAAUUAAACUUUGAAAUAUUUGGUGAUAUGAUUGGAUUUGGAUUUGAUGCCACUUAUCGCAAUAAUAAGUACUUGUAUCCUUUUAUCA
rnacentral:lncRNA from 1 species